rnacentral:lncRNA from 1 species
CACACCUUUUCAGAGUUGUUUUCAUUUGUGAGAACCACCCCCACUCAAUCCCUCUCUCUUUCUUCUCUUCACGCCUUGUUGUACCAGAUUGAAGCAGCUCCAUUUUCUUUAGCCUAGAUCUUCCCUCAAAUGCUUCUAAUCUCACACGCCAAGCUCAACCACAAGCUAGACCCCUCUUCUGACCUUGUUAAACACCUAAAAGGACUCCCUUGAAGCUGACUCUCCAAAAGAAACACCAACAGACACAAGCUUGAAUUUUAAAGGAUCUAGCUCUUGAAAAAUCUCAAGAACUCUCAAGAACACUCAAGAACACUCAAGAAAAACGAAAUCACUCUCUCCUUU